UGUUGUCCACGGGUAAGUGCGUAGGGUAGGUGAUAGGCAAAUCCGUCACCUUGUGUUUGAUCACGAGCCUGAGACACGAUGCCGAUCCGUAUGGAGUAGUGGGUGAUCCUAUGCUGUCGAGAAAAACCUCUAGCGAGCUACGCGCCGCCCGUACCCCAAACCGACUCAGGUGAUCAGGUAGAGAAUACCAAGGCGAUCGAGCGAACCAUGGUUAAGGAACUCGGCAAAAUGCCCCCGUAACUUCGGGAGAAGGGGGGCCGGAUCCGUUACCACACUUGCUGUGGGAAGCGGUGAAGGCCGCAGAGACCAGGCCCAAGCGACUGUUUACUAAAAACACAGGUCCGUGCGAAGUUGUAAGACGAUGUAUACGGACUGACUCCUGCCCGGUGCUGGAAGGUUAAGGGGACCGGUUAGAACGUAAGUCCGAAGCUGAGAACUUAAGCCCCAGUAAACGGCGGUGGUAACUAUAACCAUCCUAAGGUAGCGAAAUUCCUUGUCGGGUAAGUUCCGACCUGCACGAAUGGAGUAACGACUUGGGCGCUGUCUCAACCGUGGACUCGGCGAAAUUGCACUACGAGUAAAGAUGCUCGUUACGCGCGGCAGGACGGAAAGACCCCGGGACCUUUACUAUAGUUUGGUAUUGGUGUUUGGUUCGGCUUGUGUAGGAUAGGUGGGAGACUGUGAAGCGGCCACGCCAGUGGUUGUGGAGUCAACGUUGAAAUACCACUCUGGUCGUACUAGAUGUCUAACCUAGGACCAUUAUCUGGUUCAGGGACAGUGCCUGAUGGGUAGUUUAACUGGGGCGGUUGCCUCCUAAAAUGUAACGGAGGCGCUCAAAGGUUCCCUCAGCCUGGUUGGCAAUCAGGUGGCGAGUGUAAGUGCACAAGGGAGCUUGACUGUGAGACAGACAUGUCGAGCAGGGACGAAAGUCGGAACUAGUGAUCCGGCGUCGGCAUGUGGAAGCGACGUCGCUCAACGGAUAAAAGGUACCCCGGGGAUAACAGGCUGAUCUUCCCCAAGAGUCCAUAUCGACGGGAUGGUUUGGCACCUCGAUGUCGGCUCGUCGCAUCCUGGGGCUGGAGUAGGUCCCAAGGGUUGGGCUGUUCGCCCAUUAAAGCGGCACGCGAGCUGGGUUUAGAACGUCGUGAGACAGUUCGGUCCCUAUCCGCCGCGCGCGCAGGAAACUUGAGAAAGGCUGUCCCUAGUACGAGAGGACCGGGAUGGACGAACCUCUGGUGUGCCAGUUGUCCCGCCAGGGGCACGGCUGGUUAGCUACGUUCGGAAGUGAUAACCGCUGAAUGCAUCUAAGCGGGAAGCACGUUUCAAGAUGAGGUUUCCCACCCCUAUAAGGGGGUAAGGCCCCCAGCAGAACACUGGGUUGAUAGGCCGGAGGUGUACAGCAGCAAUGCCCAGCCGACCGGUACUAAUAGGCCGAGGGCUUGUCCU
rnacentral:rRNA from 1 species